AAGAGCUUUUGGAAUAAGGGCUGGGCAAGACCGGUGCCAGCCGCCGCGGUAACACCGGCAGCUCUAGUGGUAGCAGUUUUUAUUGGGCCUAAAGCGUCCGUAGCCGGUUUAAUAAGUCUCUGGUGAAAUCCUGUAGCUUAACUGUGGGAAUUGCUGGAGAUACUAUUAGACUUGAGACCGGGAGAGGUUAGAGGUACUCCCAGGGUAGAGGUGAAAUUCUGUAAUCCUGGGAGGACCGCCUGUUGCGAAGGCGUCUAACUGGAACGGUUCUGACGGUGAGGGACGAAAGUUAGGGGCGCGAACCGGAUUAGAUACCCGGGUAGUCCUAACUGUAAACGAUGCGGACUUGGUGUUGGGGUGGCUUUGAGCUGCUCCAGUGCCGAAGGGAAGCUGUUAAGUCCGCCGCC
rnacentral:rRNA from 1 species